CAAACAGCUGCUAUAAGCAACUUCUCGGCUUAGCUUGUUGCUAGUUAAAAAGCUUGUGGCACGUUAAAGCUUCACUGUAAAGCUUAUAUCUUAUUUAACUCUCGUGCAUACAACAACGUUUGCUCGGACGCUAAAUCGUGCGUGUCGGUUUUCUGUGUUUUCAAGCGGGGCAUAUACAUACACAGAAAUUGUUUUCAGAGCCGCAACGCCGUCAUCUUAAGCUAACAAAAGUAAAUAAAAAUCGGCAUAUCUUAAAUUAAAACAACAAAUAUAUUAUAUUUAGUUGGUGUAUUAACUAUUGAGCGAUAUUUGCUGCGAUUAUUGUGCCACAGUCUUGAGACAAUAGAUAUUUGUACAAGACCAACAAUAAUUUAGUUAAAUCUGGUUCAAAACAAACAGUUGUGAAAUUAUUUAAGUUUUGGCCUCAAAGACCUAAAUUGACAAUCGAUAAAGGCAGCAUAAGAAACUCGACGGACAAACACCCCCGCGCCGAAGUCGCAACUGCAGUCAAACACCCUCAGACCAAGAAAACGCAAAUCUGUGCAGCGGUUACGCCAACGCAACAGCAGCCGUGCAAUUGGAAUCUGAUUGGAGCGUUCAUACGGCGUCUGACCAUAAAAUAAAUAAAAUCAGUGUAUUUGCAGUUUAUUAUUAUUGUGUUGAUCUAUUCGCUCAUCGGCGGUCGCAAUUAUGGUGGAAUUCCGUUUCGAUAUUAAGCCGCUGUUUCCGCAGCCAAUUAUCAAAGUGGCAUCGAAUCUACUGCCGCACACCUUUCGAGGGGAUCGGCGUCAGUGCUUAGAUGCCACCUCAAAGAUGUCCGAGAUAAUUGAUCGAUUAGGUCAGUUGUCGGCCAUAUCGCAGGGCCUGAACAAGCCAGUAACAACGGCUCAACGCCUGCGUAUGUCGGAGAACCAGACCAUUUAUCUAUUAGCGGACACUGAGGCAGGCCACAACGGCGCUGUCAUUGGCCUGCUCAAGGUGGGCACUAAAGAUCUCUACUUGUUCGACGAGAAGGGUCAGACUCGCAAGAUGGAGCAGUCGCCCUCAAUCCUGGACUUUUACGUGCACGAGUCACGUCAGCGUGCAGGAUUGGGCAAGCGUCUGUUCGAGACCAUGUUGAAUGAGGAGCACUGGACACCAGUGAAAUGCUCCGUCGAUCGGCCGUCCGAGAAGUUGCUCGGAUUUCUGAGAAAGCACUACGGCCUGGUACGCACCAUACCUCAGGCGAAUAAUUUCGUACUCUAUGAGGGAUUUUUCGGGGACGAAGCUAGUCAGAAUGGCUCACGGAAUGGACAUGCCGCAUCGCCGGAGCGCACUAAGAAUGGGCUGCACAUUACAGACAGUCCUAACACACAACUCUUUGGGGCCACUUACUUGGGCGACGAGACGUCUAAGCAAAAGCGUUUCGGUAGGCGUGGCAGCGAGUCGCAGCAACACCACCAACAGCAGCAACAGCAGCAGGCGGCACUGCUGCAGCAAAUAACACAGAUCUCACCCAAUGGACGUUACGGCGCACCGCGACCCACAUGCAGCAUGGCCGAGAUAAUUCAUGCUGGCAGCGCUAGUUCCGGCAAGGGCGGCGGUGGAGGCAGCGCAGAGUCUAACAGAACCAAAUAAUUACGCAUACGCACCAGUGGCUGCAUUACAUACAAACAAAACAAUAUAAUGUUAACUAAACAAUUUUAAUAUUAACGAAGAGGAAAGGAGGCUGCACUCGCCGCACACCCACAUCACUAAGACACAUAUCACACACGCUCACAUUGGUUCGAUCGCUCGACCGUUACACACAAAAUACCUGAUAAUUGUGAUUACAUUUAUGUAAAUUUUUUU
rnacentral:misc_RNA from 1 species